rnacentral:lncRNA from 1 species
UAUAUUCACCUGUUACCUAUUACCUUAUCUGUACGUUCCGCAUCUGACAGGCGCACCACCAAACAGUGUAUUUAGAAUUUUGCUGUAUACUGUUGAGUAAAAAAUGCUCCAUUCCAGGCCCUUUUGUUUUCCAAAUUAUUAAUAUUACCAAUAAUUGAUAGGUUUCAGGUCGACGGGUUCAAACAGAAAGAUUUUGAAAGCAGAGAAAACUGCAUGUGCACCUUAUACAUGUUAUAAUCGGCAUGACUUUAUCAGAUGACAACACCAAUACUAAAAUAAGGCAUACGCAUAGUUAUAUAUCAGUCACGGAACCGCGAUAUCACGGGUGUGUUCUAGU